GACGAACCGUGCAAACGUUAUUCGGAAUCACUGGGCUUAAAGCGUGCGUAGGCGGCUAAGAAAGUUGGGUGUGAAAUCCCUCGGCUCAACCGAGGAAUUGCGCUCAAAACUACUUAGCUUGAGGGAGUUAGAGGUGAGCGGAACUAAUGGUGGAGCGGUGAAAUGCGUUGAUAUCAUUAGGAACACCGGUGGCGAAAGCGGCUCACUGGGACUCUUCUGACGCUGAGGCGCGAAAGCUAGGGGAGCAAACGGG
rnacentral:rRNA from 1 species